AGUAAUAUAUCGGAACGUACCCUAGAGUGGGGGAUAACGUAGCGAAAGUUACGCUAAUACCGCAUACGAUCUACGGAUGAAAGCGGGGGAUCGCAAGACCUCGCGCUCAUGGAGCGGCCGAUAUCUGAUUAGCUAGUUGGUAGGGUAAAAGCCUACCAAGGCAUCGAUCAGUAGCUGGUCUGAGAGGACAACCAGCCACACUGGGACUGAGACACGGCCCAG
rnacentral:rRNA from 1 species